GACGAACGCUGGCGGCGUGCUUAACACAUGCAAGUCGAACGGAAAGGCCCUGCUUUUGUGGGGUGCUCGAGUGGCGAACGGGUGAGUAACACGUGAGUAACCUGCCCUUGACUUGGGGAUAACUUCAGGAAACUGGGGCUAAUACCGGAUAGGAGCUCCUGCUGCAUGGUGGGGGUUGGAAAGUUUCGGCGGUUGGGGAUGGACUCGCGGCUUAUCAGCUUGUUGGUGGGGUAGUGGCUUACCCAGGCCUUGACGGGUAGCCGGCCUGAGAGGGUGACCGGCCACAUUGGGACUGAGAUACGGCCCAGACUCCUACGGGAGGCAGCAGUGGGGAAUAGUGCGCAAUGGGCGGAAGCCUUAUGCAGCAACGCCGCGUGCUGGAUGACGGCCGUCGGGUUGUAACCCGCUUUCGCCUGUGACGAAGCGUGAGUGACGGUAAUGUGUAAAGAAGCACCGGCUAACUACGUG
rnacentral:rRNA from 1 species